rnacentral:rRNA from 1 species
GCGUAAGGGCUCGCAGGCGGUUUCUUAAGUCUGAUGUGAAAGCCCCCGGCUCAACCGGGGAGGGUCAUUGGAAACUGGGAAACUUGAGUGCAGAAGAGGAGAGUGGAAUUCCACGUGUAGCGGUGAAAUGCGUAGAGAUGUGGAGGAACACCAGUGGCGAAGGCGACUCUCUGGUCUGUAACUGACGCUGAGGAGCGAAAGCGUGGGGAGCGAACAGGAUUAGAUACCCUGGUAGUCCACGCCGUAAACGAUGAGUGCUAAGUGUUAGGGGGUUUCCGCCCCUUAGUGCUGCAGCUAACGCAUUAAGCACUCCGCCUGGGGAGUACGGUCGCAAGACUGAAACUCAAAGGAAUUGACGGGGGCCCGCACAAGCGGUGGAGCAUGUGGUUUAAUUCGAAGCAACGCGAAGAACCUUACCAGGUCUUGACAUCCUCUGACAACCCUAGAGAUAGGGCUUUCCCUUCGGGGACAGAGUGACAGGUGGUGCAUGGUUGUCGUCAGCUCGUGUCGUGAGAUGUUGGGUUAAGUCCCGCAACGAGCGCAACCCUUGAUCUUAGUUGCCAGCAUUUAGUUGGGCACUCUAAGGUGACUGCCGGUGACAAACCGGAGGAAGGUGGGGAUGACGUCAAAUCAUCAUGCCCCUUAU